rnacentral:lncRNA from 1 species
AUCUAAAGCUUAAGGACUAUGGAAUGGAUCUCAUUGAAGUUUCAGGCAAUGGAUGUGGGGUAGAAGAAGAAAACUUCGAAGGCUUAAUGAUGUCACCAUUUCUACCUGCCACGUAUCGGCGAAGGUUGGGACUCGACUGGUGUUUUUGAUCACGAUGGGAAAAUCAUCCAGAAAACCCCCUACCCCCACCCCAGAGGGACCACAGUCAGCGUGAAGCAGUUAUUUUCUACGCUACCUGUGCGCCAUAAGGAAUUUCAAAGGAAUAUUAAGAAGAAACGUGCCUGCUUCCCCUUCGCCUUCUGCCGUGAUUGUCAGUUUCUUGAGGGCUCCCCAGCCAUGCUUCCUGUACAGCCUGCAAAACUGACUCCUAGAAGUACCCCACCCCACCCCUGCUCCUUGGAGGACAACGUGAUCACUGUAUUCAGCUCUGUCAAGAAUGGUCCAGGUUCUUCUAGAUGAUCUGCACAAAUGGUUCCUCUCCUCCUUCCUGAUGUCUGCCAUUAGCAUUGGAAUAAAGUUCCUGCUGAAAAUCCACAUCUCCCCUGGGUCCGGUGUUCUGGAAGUGAGAGAGACAAUGUCACACUUGAAGGAGGCAGCUCUCUAGACAGGAAGGUUAUUCACGUCCCAUGUCAAGUCUAGCUAGAGUUCAGAGCAAUUGAGAAGUGCAAUUUUAUCUCCUGCCUUUCAUUCUAUACCCUGCUUCUGAACCAUCGUGUUCAACUGUGAAACUCACACUUUGGUGACCCUGACUCCAAAACUUAAUACACCCAAGGUCAGCCCCAGUGAUCUGCUUCAUAGCCAGGACUUUGGGUGGGUCUUCCCAGGGAGUAGGGCACCCUCAGAGAAUGUGGCUUUGGACUUCAUCACAGCUGGGGCCUUUUGUGUCACUUCAGAUCUAAACUUGUAACCGUGCUAGAUCUGUUUCUAACGUGACAACAUCACGAACCACGAGUCCAGAAGCCUAAUCCAUAAUCCUCCCUCCUCAUGACGAAGUCUCAUGCUCUGUGCUC